GGGGAUAUAGCUCAGUUGGUAGAGUGCUUGCCUUGCAUGCAAAAGGUCCUGGGUUCAAUUCCCAGUACCACCG